ACAGGUAACCAAUGUUAUCUAAAAAGAUAAGAUAAAGGAAAAUGGUAAAUAUGACUCAAGGUUUAUCACUCAGCCAGUACAUUAUUGCAUAUUAUCGCCACUGUGUCACCACGAGUUAGAAAUGGCUUCCCCAAGGACCCAGCAAAAAACCCUCGCAGGAUGCGGGAGCGAGCACUAAGGCGUGGUCUUUCCCUUGCAGCUGGACCUGGCCAGAGCGGGCGACGCCGAGGCCCUGCAGGCGGCCCUCGCCUCCCUCGCCCCCCGCGCCACCAAGGACUUCUUCGCCGAGAAGCCGCUGCACGUCGCUGCCGAAGAAGGCCACGAAGAGAUAGUCAAGAUGCUGAUCUUAGGAGGAGUGGAUGUUAACGGCAAAAAUGAAAAAGGUGCGACUCCAUUGCAUAGAGCAGCCUAUAAAGGGCACACAUCGGUGGUGACGGCGCUUGUGACUCGAGGGGCGACUGUGAACGAAAUUCCAACCUUGG